rnacentral:rRNA from 1 species
AGUGAACGCUGGCGGCAGGCCUAAUACAUGCAAGUCGAACGGCAGCACAGCAGAGCUUGCUCUGUGGGUGGCGAGUGGCGGACGGGUGAGGAAUACAUGGGAAUCUGCCCAGUCGUGGGGGAUAACGUAGGGAAACUUACGCUAAUACCGCAUGCGCCCUUCGGGGGAAAGCCGGGGACCUUCGGGCCUGGCGCGAUUGGAUGAGCCCAUGUCGGAUUAGCUAGUUGGCGGGUAAUGGCCCACCAAGGCGACGAUCCGUAGCUGGUCUGAGAGGAUGAUCAGCCACACUGGAACUGAGACACGGUCCAGACUCCUACGGGAGGCAGCAGUAGGGAAUAUUGGACAAUGGGCGCAAGCCUGAUCCAGCCAUGCCGCGUGAGUGAAGAAGGCCCUCGGGUUGUAAAGCUUCUUUUGUCCGGAAAGAAAGGCGACCGGGUUAAUACCCGUAGUGUCCUGGACGGUACCGGAAGAAUAAGCACCGGCUAACUUCGUGCCAGCACGG